GCCUGUCUGCAUCCCUACUGGUGGCCGUCCUGCUUUUGAGUGUCAGCUGCUUCCCCUCCCUAGUAGGUUGUUGAAUAGGAGUAUGUUCUGUCUCCUCCUGUGGGCCACAAAUAGACAUGUGCAAGCCUACAUUUUGUAUAUCUACAUUAGGACAAUGCUUAUCUUUAUAUUUUUGGGCAGUCAUAAGUAUCAAAAAUGGUUAGCCCUAUUUAAUGCAAAUACACAACAGUAGGUUCUGGACUCAAGAUAAGAGGGAGCUAGUUUGUGAAUAUUCUGUCUGCUGAAGAGGAUCUUUGAAAACAAAGCAAAAGUAAGUAGUAGGCAUAGUCUGAAAGACCUUCUUAUCCUGCUGGAGAAGAGAAACAGAAGCAUGAGCUGUUAACUAUAGUGGAAUUGAAAUGGAA